UACGUAGGGGGCUAGCGUUGUCCGGAAUCAUUGGGCGUAAAGAGCGUGUAGGCGGUCCGGUAAGUCCGCUGUGAAUGUCGGGGGCUCAACCCUCGAAUGCCGGUGGAUACUGUCGGGCUAGAGUACGGAAGAGGCGAGUGGAAUUCCUGGUGUAGCGGUGAAAUGCGCAGAUAUCAGGAGGAACACCUAUUGCGAAGGCAGCUCGCUGGGACGUAACUGACGCUGAGACGCGAAAGCGUGGGGAGCAAACAGG
rnacentral:rRNA from 1 species